UCAGAUGCAGACAUUUUUUUUGCAUUACGUUCACAUUACAGUACUGGUUCCAAACGAAUAGGAAUCGAUUAAAAAUCCAAUCGAAUCCAGUUUAACUUGGCGGUCUGAUUAGCAUUGCUGAUUUUUUUUAUAAAUUGUAUAAUAGUUUGUUUUAAAAUUGUAAAAAUAAAAAACGCGUUGUUUUAUAGUGUUCCAUAUAAUUGUGCAUUCGCAUUAACCAAUUUCGUGCGCAUUUUCCGAAAAUUUGCUAUGGGCAAGUGUUUUUUAAGUGUAUUAAGUGCAAGUAUAUUUAGUGUGCGUUUAUAAAAAUCAUCAUUGCAUAUUCGCUGUCGCCUUGCCCAUUGGAGCACUCUUUUGCAACGAAUAUUUUCUGUUCGCUGAAGUCUUGCUAGUUUAUGCCCAAUUCUCAAUACAAAUACAAACUAAAUUGUGUUCUAACAUUUCUGUAGAAGAAUUUUGAAGAAUGCUCAAGUAAGUUUGGGAAAUAAUAGAAAACUUGAAGAGCGGUUUAACAAUGCGUCACAAGCGUGUUUGUGUGUAAAGACGAGGCAUGAAAAGAGAGCAGACAUUGGCGUUCAUUUGCAUGUUUGUUUUUUUUUUGGGCGUGCUAUCAGCUGGCGAGAAAGAAGAAACAAGAAGCUCGUCUCGUUUUGGCACCGAUAUCUAAUGGCAUUCGAGCUGUGUGUGGUGCAUAAAAAAUGCUGUUGGGUUGACUUGAAUUACAGUAGCCAAACAAUCA